CAAAAAGACAUGCAACGUUCCAAUGUAUCGAUUUGUCUUCAAUAUUGAACUAUUGACCAAAUAGGUAUAAACUACACAGAGAUAUAAAUAUUUGUGGAUAGACAGACUCACACGCACUCAUGUAUGAACUCACACGCACUAAGAAACACGCACGUGAAAAUCAUCGUAUUUACAAUAGUCCUAAAAAAAAAAAAAAGCAUAUUGAAAUUCAACGCGAACACAUGCAGACGUCAUUUUACCCAUUUGAUA